GUUUCUUAAUUAGAAGCUGGUAUGAAUGGUUAAAUGAGAAAAUAGCUGUCUUUAGUUUAAUUUAUAAGAAUUUUAUUUUUGAGUUAAAAAGCUCAAAUUUUUUUAAAAGACGAGAAGACCCUAUAGAGUUUAAUAAUUUAAUAUUUAUUAAUUUUAGGUAUUUAUAUUUAAUAGAUUUAUAAUUAUUUGAUUGGGGUGAUUAGAAAAUUUAGAUAACUUUUGUUUUAUUUAAACAUUAAUUUAUGAUUAAUUGAUCCAUUAUUAGUGAUUAUAAGAUUAAAUUACCUUAGGGAUAACAGCGUAAUUUUUUUAGAAAGUUCUUAUUAAUAAAAAAGUUUGCGACCUCGAUGUUGGAUUAAAAUUAACUUUUGGUGCAGUAGCUAAAAAGUUAGGUCUGUUCGACCUUUAAAAUUUUACAUGAUCUGAGUUUAAACCGGUGUGAGCCAGGUUGGAUUCUAUCUUUAAAUAAUUAAAAUGAUUUAGUACGAAAGGACCCAUUAUUUGUAAUAUUUAUUGUAUUUUUGAACAAAA
rnacentral:rRNA from 1 species